UACGUAGGCAGCAAGCGUUGUUCGGAGUUACUGGGCGUAAAGGGUGUGUAGGCGGUUGUUUAAGUUUGGUGUGAAAUCUCCCGGCUCAACUGGGAGGGUGCGCCGAAUACUGAAUGACUUCGAGUGCGGGAGAGGAGAGUGGAAUUCCUGGUGUAGCGGUGAAAUGCGUAGAUAUCAGGAGGAACACCGGCGGUGUAGACGGCUCUCUUGACCGUAACUGACGCUGAGACACGAAAGCGUGGGUAGCAAACAGG
rnacentral:rRNA from 1 species